rnacentral:lncRNA from 1 species
AUGUCUAUGUGGAGGCGACGGCCAAAAUAUAAUUGCAAAGCAUAUCGAGAAGACAAACAUGUCCAUAGAGGCCCAGAUAGAGUGGAUAUACUAACAUUUAAAUACAAGGAGAUGUGUAAAAUGGACUCAAGCUCUGAUUCUGAAUCUGAUGCAAGCCCUAGGUGGUCAGACACCAGCAGCAAGGGCAACGUCAGUGGGGCAGCAGAAAGAAGAGCUGCACAGAAACUGCCAUCAUUAACACACAAACCCACUGGCUGGCACAACGUGUGCAUAGAUCCGUACGAUGGAAGCUCAGAGGACUCUUGCAGCUCCAUGAAUGGUUCCAGACGGCCAAAGAAGGGUACCUGCAGGUUUUGGGGAAAGUUCCGGAGAGGGACAGCCAUGCAUGGCCCCCUCCCCAAGGAGGCGAAGAGAAGUGGGACAACUGAUGGUGCAGGAGGAUCCCAUUUUGGAGACAUUCACAUGUCAAGCGAUUCAGAGAUUGAUUUCACCAACCAGAAUGGCAAUUGGCCUUCUAGCGAUGUGAAAGAUUCAAAGGCAGGGGUGUUGGAAGAUAGCGGCGUGUUCACCAGGUCCCCUUCUGACCCACCUGGCCCUGCGCUGUCCACUGUUGGAGGUGAUUGCGUGCGGGCUGUGCGUGGUUCAUCCAAUGAAAACGAUCAAGAGACACCAACGCCUCAACUUCAGUCACCUGACUGUACCACAGGCUAUGACUCACUUUCCAAAAGGAAGCUGGUUCUUCCCCAGGGUGAAAUGGGGUAUUGGCACAGGAAAAGGCAAUGUAUGACUAAAGUGGAAGAGGAGAGCCACAGUCCUGAGUGAAAUGAAACUGGGGAGCCAUCAGGUCAACUUCUGAAACAUUUUGAGUUACUUUGCACUUCCACUGUAAAUAAAGCACUUGGUGUUAAAUAUUUUAGUUGUGAC